rnacentral:misc_RNA from 1 species
UCCGGUUUGUCACCGGCAGUCUCACUAGAGUGCCCAACUGAAUGUGGCAACUAAUGACAAGGGUUGCGCUCGUUGCGGGACUUAACCCAACAUGUCACCACACGAGCUGACGACAGCCAUGCAGCACCUGUGCACGGACUCCGAAGAGGGGCCGAUGUUUCCACCGGCUUUCCCGUGCAUGUCAAACGCUGGUAAGGUUCUGCGCGUUGCUUCGAAUUGAACCACAUGCUCCACCGCUUGUGCGGGCCCCCGUCAAUUCCUUUGAGUUUUAGCCUUGCGGCCGUACUCCCCAGGCGGAGUGCUUAACGCGUUAGCUACGGCACCGCAGGGGUCAAUACCCGCAGCACCUAGCACUCAUCGUUUACGGCGUGGACUAC